CACAGGAGCCCAGCCCUGGACUCCCAGCUCAGCCCACUCAGUGAUCAGGACUGAGCACAGCUGCUCACCAUGGAGAGUGUGUUCAGCUGGGUUUUCCUGGUGGCUGUUUUCAAAGGUGUCCAGUGUGAGGUGCAGCUGGUGGAGUCUGGGGGAGGCCUGGUGCAGCCUGGGGGUUCCCUGCGACUCUCCUGUGCAGCCUCUGGAUUCACCUUCAGUGACUACUGGAUGAGCUGGGUCCGCCAGGCUCCAGGGAAGGGGCUGGAGUGGGUUGGAGAAAUUAAUAAAAAUGGUGGUAGCACCUACUACCCAGACUCUGUGAAGGGCCGAUUCACCAUCUCCAGAGACAACUCCAAGAACACGCUGUACCUGCAAAUGGGCAGUCUGAGAACUGAGGACACAGCCACCUAUUACUGUGCUAGAGACACAGUGAGGGGACCUCAGUGUGAGCCCAGACACAAACCUCCCUGCAGGGCGCCUAGGGCCAGCAGGGGGCGCUCAGCACACAGGGAGCUCAGGGUCACCCAGGAGCAGGUGCAGAGGAGGUGA